rnacentral:pre_miRNA from 1 species
AAUGGAAUAGCUGGGUCAAAUGGUGGAUCCAUUCCAAGUUUUCUGAGGUAUCUUCAUACUGCUUUCCAUAGUGGUUACACCAUUUGCAGUCUCACCAGCAAU